rnacentral:misc_RNA from 1 species
UGAAGCAGGCGCUCCGUCGCCCUUCUCUACCCUUCAACCAUGUGGUCUUCUGCCAUUGCCUCGGGGGGGUUGAGGCGGCCUCGGCCGUCGGGGCCCCUUGCUGGGCCCCGCCCCCCCGCGUGCCCUUGAUAAAGUCUUGGAGUGAUAUUUGUGUCUGAUCUGUCCGGUGGACAUAAUGAAAAUA